rnacentral:tRNA from 1 species
GAGUGUAUAGCCCAGUGGUAGAGUGUGUGCUUAGUAUGCACAAGGUCCUGGGUCCAAUCCCACUACCCCCA